UACGUAGGGCGCAAGCGUUAUCCGGAAUUAUUGGGCGUAAAGAGCUCGUAGGCGGUUUGUCGCGUCUGCCGUGAAAGUCCGGGGCUCAACUCCGGAUCUGCGGUGGGUACGGGCAGACUAGAGUGAUGUAGGGGGAGACUGGAAUUCCUGGUGUAGCGGUAAAAUGCGCAGAUAUCAGGAGGAACACCGAUGGCGAAGGCAGGUCUCUGGGCAUUAACUGACGCUGAGGAGCGAAAGCAUGGGGGAGCGAACAGG
rnacentral:rRNA from 1 species